ACGGAUAAAAGGUACUCCGGGGAUAACAGGCUGAUACCGCCCAAGAGUUCAUAUCGACGGCGGUGUUUGGCACCUCGAUGUCGGCUCAUCACAUCCUGGGGCUGAAGUAGGUCCCAAGGGUAUGGCUGUUCGCCAUUUAAAGUGGUACGCGAGCUGGGUUUAGAACGUCGUGAGACAGUUCGGUCCCUAUCUGCCGUGGGCGCUGGAGAACUGAGGGGGGCUGCUCCUAGUACGAGAGGACCGGAGUGGACGCAUCACUGGUGUUCGGGUUGUCAUGCCAAUGGCACUGCCCGGUAGCUAAAUGCGGAAGAGAUAAGUGCUGAAAGCAUCUAAGCACGAAACUUGCCCCGAGAUGAGUUCUCCCUGACUCCUUGAGAGUCCUGAAGGAACGUUGAAGACGACGACGUUGAUAGGCCGGGUGUGUAAGCGCAGCGAUGCGUUGAGCUAACCGGUACUAAUGAACCGUGAGGCUUAACCUUACAACGCCGAAGGUGUUU
rnacentral:rRNA from 1 species